AAAUCUGUGAUAUUACCAUGCAAAAAUGACCAAAAAUUAGUUGGGGGGCGAAGGAAAGAAAUGGGGCCACAGACCCCCUGGGUGUGUUCCGUGGACCCCCAGGGGUCCCCACACCCCUAAUUGGGAACCACUGCACUAAGCAAUUCACUUCCAUGUUUGGUGAUAUAAUUGGCUUUGGGUGGGGGGAGAAGAGACAUUGUUCAUUGUACACACUGUGCAACAGGCCGGUGAAAAGAGAAUAAACAACUUAAUAAGAAUAAGUUUCAGGAAAACUGGCUUAAAUGUCAUUGCUGUGUAAUUUUGUUCUUCAAGGAGACUUUAAUUUUGAAAAUAUUCAUUUGAAGCCCAACAGGAUCUUUGCAGCAUUUGACAUUUUUUUGACUUCAAGCCACUAAAUCAAACUUUUCAGGAGUAGCAACUUAUUUUCUGGAGUAAAAUGCUCUCCUUGUUAUUCGAUUACCGUAAUAUUACUGUUCCAAAUAAAUCACUUUGGAUUAAAAGCACUGCCCUCUUUGCCUUGCUACUUUGUAGAUCCCUGAGGUAAAAAAGAAAUUUUGAUUUCUGAUUAACUUUCAUUAUAAUCUGAACAUCAGCAAGUAUUGAAGAAUUUGAAGAGAGAGAGGAGAGGGAGCUCAGUUAGAUGAACUACAUAAUGAGCAAGAAGUUUUUCAAGACAUUGUGUUGUUGGACAAAGUGUUUGAUUAUCGGUUUAUAAGCUGUUGUGUAACACACCUCUCAGGUGUUCAGAUUGGCAAAGGGGUUCUGUUGGUUGUUUCACCGCCCUCAGUAGCUCGGGGUGGUGGUAUCCCAGGAGAGGCAAGGGCUAUUGUGGAACUCCCUUCACACAGAAGUGUGGGUGGCAUCUUCAUUAUAAGAGCUUCUGGCAAUGCUGAAGACACACCUCUUCACCCUGGCUUUUGACACUUUAAAUAUAUAUUUUAGGACUCACCCUAUUUAUGUGGUUAUAAAUUGUUCAAAGCUGUUUUUAACAUCAUCUUUUAAUUGUUUUAACCAGCCCUGGGACCUUUGGGCAAAAUCUGGGUUAACAACAACAACAGAUUCAUGGGCUAGUUACCUUGAACUGGAAUCCCUGUUUCCACACUGGCCUUCCCUUUUAGCUUGAAUGAAGCAGCCAGGGCUCUUCCUUGCAUAAGACAAGAAAUUUCCCUUUUAUUUAUGCUUUCUUCAGCCUUGCAAACUGGCAACCCCCAAAUCCUUAAUCACAUGAUGUUCCUGUUGGUCAGCUGACCAUUAACUCAGCUGGCUUCACAAUCAAAAUUGGACCACGUACCUACUUCAGAAGAUUCUUUGAAGUACAAGGCCCAUUACUCCUUUCUUUCCAUUUACCAUUUACUAAGAUCUGCAUCCAGCGCCAUCCACAGCUUGUGAGCCCGUGUGGUGUAGUGGUUAAGAGCGGUAGACUUAUAAUCUGGUGAACCGGGUUCGCUUCCCCGCUCCUCCACAUGCAGCUGCUGGGUGACCUUGGGCCAGUCACACUUCUUUGGAGUCUCUCAGCCCCACUCACGUCACAGAGUGUUUGUUGUGGGGGAGGAAGGGAAAGGAGAAUGUUAGCCGCUUUGAGACUCCUUCGGGUAGUGAUAAAGCGGGAUAUCAAAUCCAAACUCUUCUUGCCAUCCUUUGGGGUUUUUUUCUUCUGGAUCACCCUCCCCGUUACAAUUAUAACAUUUUUCAUAUCUUUUAUCUUCCAUUUUCUUCAUUUGUCCAGACCAUUGUGGGACCCAUUCUGUUCCCUAAUUUCAGUUGCUAUUGUUGGUUGAUUCCUUAGUUCAUGCAGUUCCUGAUUCUUUUUAAUUGUCUAUAUAUUACAUAUUCAUUAUUUCCAGAAAUCUUGUUACAGAGAGUGCAGAGGAAAAACAGCUUUCUGGCCAUUUAAAUUGUUCUCUAUUUCACUGAUGACAUUUAUUGGUUUUCCAAACAGAGCUAGGUUAUCUAAAGCUAAAAUACACUCCAUAUCACUUUGUAUUUACAUAGCAGGCCCAGGUCACUGUUGCUAUUUUUUCUACAAUAAUUAGCAAUGCUGAGCUCCAUUUAUUGGAGAAAUUGUGGGUUGCUAUAGUGACAUUUUAGCAGUGAUAAAACAGUAGGUGGGCCCUAAAGCCUCAAAGCCAAUUGUCACUAAGGUACUUUUAUGAUGUUGUUGCAUAUUGAGAACAACAAAGUUUGAGAGGGCUUUCUAAUUCAAUGGGAUGCCAUUUUAAAAGUUUAUUAAAUAAACAAACAAACAAACAAACCUUUAAUAGUGAUGUGCUCUAAAUAGGUAAUUGUUUUAUGUAGAUUUUUUGUAGCACAGCAUAUUUGUUGUUUAGUCUGAUGCAGUUUUAAAAAACAUUGUCCAGUGUAGGUAGUACACACAGCUGGGAAUAAGCAGGUUCCCUCUAUUCUCAGUUCAUCUCUCCUGUGUUCCACCCGCUUUGUGAGAAGUGCAACUCUCUGGCCUGCACAUGGAAAUUUAUUUUAUACUUCUGUUCUGCCAAGGGGCAGAGGUUCUUUUUGGAUUUGGACAAGACAACAAAGCACACUGGGUCUGUUCUUUAAUAAAUAUUACCAAGUGGUACUAAAGAACAAAGCAAAGCUUGCAUCCUUUCCUUGGGCUGCUGGGAACCCCCUGAAUGGCAGCGGACAUGACUCCUAACAGCUGGUGUUCAGCACCUUGCUGGCUGUAGGUCUGCACUGAAGUUCAGAUAACAGAUGUGUUCUUGGGACUUAUAUUACAUAAUCACCUUUGGUAUUUGGGUUGUACAUCAGCAGCCUUGACAGUGUUUAUAUAUUCUUACAAGACUGGAGAAGUGCUUCAUGUAUGGCAAGCGGCCAACAUAGAUAACUCUUGAGACGAGCAGAUACUUCUACCAGAUGCCACUAUGGGACUGUGCUAAGGCUAAUCUAGAGAUUAGAAUUCCCACAUGGUACCAUUUCAGGGUAUAAUAUAUUUCACAGAAGACCAAGGAAGAAGCAGGAUUAACUUCUUAAAGGCCACAGUAGCCACAGGAUCUCUGGGCAUGCAAGCGGUAUUGCUAUAUAACACCUGAAACUCCUCAGAAUCUGCGAUCUGCCAGUACAUCUCCCUAGUACCGUACCUGAUGCAUUCCCUGCCCUGUUGGACAGGUCAGGUAGGUUGGGAGACAGUCAGCUCCUCAGGCCCAGGAGAAGGUUUGUGUGAGUAUCCUGGCUCAGGCUCUGUGGGCCCUGGUGCUGUGGGGUCUGGUUCAGGAGACCCUCACCAACCAGCAGUGGAUUUAAUGGUCCUCUGGUCAUCAGCCUGGCUCUUCAGUUAAUGACUCUAAAGCUGCUAACUCUGCGUCUUUAUCCCUGACUUGAGGGUCAUCACACAAAGAGUCUUGUAGCACCUUAAUGCCUAUCAAAUUUGUUGCAGCAUAAGUUUUUGUGGGCUACAGUUCAUAGAAUCAGGUGCACAGUAUGUCAUCCUGAACUAGCAGAUACCUGGUUACAAGGAUUCAGAGAAAGAAAAUAGCAUUGUCCGUAGGAUAGAGGAAAAUUAAAUGCAGCAUCAAAGCUUAGAUGUAUGUAGAAUGAUUGCAGUGACCAUUCAUAAAAUGGUGCUGAUAAGCAUCCUGACACUGGUUAAUUCAUUAUCAUCCACUGUGGGAUUAAAAAAACCCCCACAAUCUCUAUCCAAACUACAGGUGAGAGAAUUUAAUUUAUUGAUUGGUAUUAAUUAGGCAUUUAGUUUACUUUGGUGCAAAAAGAGACAACUUACUUGGUGGGGUGCUAUCCACAUCGAGCUUGGCCUGUCUUUAGUAGGGGUAAAAUACCUUAGCAAUUUUUGACUGCUACAUAUAUAUAUAUUGGUGGCAGGCAUUGUGCUCAAAUUAAUGCUUAGCUCCAGUUAUAAUAUAAUUAUGUCUUAACAGUAGAAAAUUCUAAUUAAGAUGAUCUGUUUGCCAAGGAAAAGUUUAGUAUAUCAGCAAAUCUAUUUAUCAGGAGCGAGUGGUUUUCCCACUGAUUGGAGCCUGAAUUAUGGGGGAGCAUCACAGAUGCAGGCUGCAUUGGGCAAAGAACACAAGCACACAUUUAAAUCAUGUAUAUCUUUCUUUUAACUGAUGUAAUUGUGAAAUAUGUUCUUUUUGCAUUCAUAAUUAGGGAGUGGAACAGAUGGUGAAGGCUUAGUUUAAAAUAAUCUGUCAUUAAAAUAGCCUAGCCUACUGGUAAUCCUUCAUUCUAACUGGAGUUUAGGUCAGAGUAACAGGAUUUUUUUGUAGUGUUGACAUACAGUGGAAGGAAUUAGGGACUUCAUGGAUACUGUGUAACAUAUGAGGAUGUUCCUUAGAAGGACACUGUAGUAAAAUUUCAAGGUAUUUUCCUCCUUAUAAUCCAAAAAAUACCUCAAAAAUUGCAAGGACAAAAUUUCCUUGGCAAAAUGACCCUUCAACACACUACGAUAAACACUGAAGCCCUGAUCCAGAGACCUUCACUGCAGUGGGCAAGGGUGCUGGGAAUUUUAGCUCUGUAAGGGGCAAAUGACAGUUCCUAAGAUUAUUUUAGGAAACCAUGUGGUUUGAAAGUGUGGUGUGUACUUCACCCCAGAAGCAUUAGUCACAUGCAAAAGAUUAUUAUGGAACGCUAUGUACACUUUUAGAAAGGGAAUAGGAAAACUGUUUUCAGGACCUAAACAUGGUGGAAGAUUUAGGGUAGACAAAAGGAAGUACCUCUACACAUGACAUACGGUUAAACUCUUAAAUUCAUUACCACGGGAUGUGGGGAUGGCUAUAAACUUAGACAGCUUUGAAAGGGAAUUAGAGAUAAGGCUGUCAGUAGCUGUAGCCAAGCCACAUUCUCCGGCAUCAGAAUGCUAGUCUGUGAGGAACAACAGUGGCAAUAAAGCUUUUGUGGCCAUAUCCUGAUUGAGGACUUCCCAUAGGCCAGGAAUGGGAACUUGUGGCCUGCCAGAUAUUGUUGAACUCCAGUUCCUAUCAGCUCCAGCCAGCAUAGCCAGUGGUCAGGGGUGAUGGGAAUUGCAGGCCAGCAACAUAUGUUCACGUGUCCUCCACUCCUGUCAUAGGCAUCUGGUUGACCAGUGUUGGUAACAGGAUGCUGGGCUAGGUGGACCUUAUGUUCUUACAGAUGCAGGUACUUCACCAUCUUCAAGAUCGAAAGCUUCUUUCCUCGACUGUCUAAUAGGUAUCAAAGGGGGUGUAGCUGAGAAGUUGGUUAAUAGUUCAUCAGCAUAUUAGUGCUCUGUACAGACGUGCUCAAGGUGACAUGCAAAAGACAAAAAGAAAGAGUGGGCCAUGCCAAAAUAAAUGGAAACACUAGAACCUCUGGAACCUCUGUGGUUGAGCAACAAGCACGACCAAUAGCAUUUUACACAUCUGCCUUGCACAUUAUUCUAAUUCACAUAACAUAAAUUAUAAUUACUAGCAUCAUUAUUUAGAUAUGCCACAGCUUCUCUUUACAUCUGAAAAUAAUUUGCCUCCUGUCGACCAUAUAGACUUACUGAGAUCUGACAAGGAAAAUCUCCCAUCAUUGCUGUCUGACUCGCUUAGAGCUGUUUUCAGGAAUAAGAAAACUGUCUCUGUUAAUCAGAUACUUGCAUGCCUUAAAAGCAUCUAUUUUAGUAGUGUUUCCUCUCAGAUUUCCCCCCC